rnacentral:rRNA from 1 species
AUUGCCUCAGUAACGGCGAGUGAAGCGGCACAAGCUCAAAUUUGAAAUCUGGCUCUUUCAGGGUCCGAGUUGUAAUUUGUAGAAGAUGCUUCGGGUGUGGCUCCGGUCUAAGUUCCUUGGAACAGGACGUCAUAGAGGGUGAGAAUCCCGUAUGUGACUGGGUGCCUACGCUCAUGUGAAGCUCUUUCGACGAGUCGAGUUGUUUGGGAAUGCAGCUCAAAAUGGGUGGUAAAUUUCAUCUAAAGCUAAAUAUUGGCCAGAGACCGAUAGCGCACAAGUAGAGUGAUCGAAAGAUGAAAAGCACUUUGGAAAGAGAGUUAAACAGUACGUGAAAUUGUUGAAAGGGAAGCGCUUGCAAUCAGACUUGCGCCUGGGUGAUCAUCCGGGGUUCUCUCCGGUGCACUCGCUCAGGCUCAGGCCAGCAUCGGUUUGGGUGGUUGGAUAAAGGCCUUGGGAAUGUGGCCCCUCUCGGGGGGUGUUAUAGCCCUCGGUGCCAUGCAGCCUACCUGGACCGAGGACCGCGCUUCGGCUAGGAUGCUGGCGUAAUGGUUGUAAGCGACCCGUCUUGAAACACGGACCAAGGAGUCUAACAUCUAUGCGAGUGUUUGGGUGUCAAACCCAUACGCGUAAUGAAAGUGAACGGAGGUGAGAACCCUUUAGGGUGCAUCAUCGACCGAUCCUGAUGUCUUCGGAUGGAUUUGAGUAAGAGCAUAGCUGUUGGGACCCGAAAGAUGGUGAACUAUGCGUGAAUAGGGUGAAGCCAGAGGAAACUCUGGUGGAGGCUCGCAGCGGUUCUGACGUGCAAAUCGAUCGUCAAAUUUGCGUAUAGGGGCGAAAGACUAAUCG